CAGAACGAACGCUGGCGGCAUGGUUAAAACAUGCAAGUCGAGCGCGAACGUCCCUUCGGGGAACAAGUAGAGCGGCGAAGGGGUGAGUAAUGCAUGGGUAACGUACCUUCCGCACAAGGAUAGCCCACCGAAAGGUCGGGAUAAUACUUGAUGAGACCACAGUGUCUUCGGGCACAGCGGUCAAAGGGCAGGGACCUUCGGGCCUGCCGGCGGUAGAGCGGCCCAUGUCGUAUCAGCUUGUUGGUGAGGUAACGGCUCACCAAGGCCACGACGCGUAGCGGGGCUGAGAGGUUGACCCGCCACAUUGGGACUGAGACACUGCCCAGACUCCUACGGGAGGCUGCAGUAACGAAUAUUGGGCAAUGAGCGAAAGCUUGACCCAGCAAUGCCGCGUGCGGGAAGAAGCCCUUCGGGGUGUAAACCGCUGUCAGGGAUUACCAAGCAAGGGACGUUAAUAGCCUUCUGCGUUGAGGAGUCCCAGAGGAAGCCACGGCUAACUUCGUGCCAGCAGCCGCGGUAAUACGAAGGUGGCAAGCGUUGAUCGGAAUCACUGGGCUUAAAGAGCACGUAGGCGGCUAUGCAAGCGUCUUGUGAAAUCCCUCGGCUCAACCGAGGAAUUGCUAGGCGAACUGCAUGGCUUGAGGCAGAUAGGGGUGCAUGGAACUCUUGGUGGAGCGGUGAAAUGCGUAGAUAUCAAGAGGAACGCCGGAGGCGAAAGCGGUGCACUGGGCCCGUCCUGACGCUGAGGUGCGAAAGCCAGGGGAGCGAACGGGAUUAGAUACCCCGGUAGUCCUGGCCAUAAACGAUGCCUACUAGGUCGGAGUCUCUCUGACGGGGUUCCGGUCGAAACGAAAGCAUUAAGUAGCCCGCCUGGGGAGUACGGUCGCAAGGCUAAAACUCAAAGGAAUUGACGGGGGCUCACACAAGCGGUGGAGCAUGUUGCUUAAUUCGAUGCAACGCGAAGAACCUUAUCCUGGGCUUGACAUGCUUGGAUGCCUGCCUGGAAACAGGAUUUGGCUGCCCUUCGGGGUGAAACUUGCACAGGUGCUGCAUGGCUGUCGUCAGCUCGUGUCGUGAGAUGUUGGGUUAAGUCCCGUAACGAGCGAAACCCUUGUCGCUAGUUGCCAGCGAGUCAUGUCGGGGACUCUAGCGAGACUGCCGGUGUUAAACUGGAGGAAGGUGGGGAUGACGUCAAGUCCUCAUGGCCUUUAUGCCCAGGGCUGCAAACGUGCUACAAUGGCUGGUACAAACCGACGCGAUACCGCGAGGUGGAGCAAAUCGGAAAAAGCCAGCCCCAGUUCGGAUUGGAGUCUGCAACUCGACUCCAUGAAGUUGGAAUCGCUAGUAAUCGCAGAUCAGCAAUGCUGCGGUGAUAUGUUCCUGAGCCUUGUACACACCGCCCGUCAAGUCAUGGAAGCUGGGAGCACCCGA
rnacentral:rRNA from 1 species